rnacentral:rRNA from 1 species
GAGAGGUGCUGCAUGGCUGUCGUCAGCUCGUGUUGUGAAAUGUUGGGUUAAGUCUCGCAACGAGCGCAACCCCUAUCGUCCGUUGCCAGCAUUAAGUUGGGCACUCUGACGAGACUGCCUGGGUUAACCAGGAGGAAGGUGGGGAUGACGUCAAGUCCUCAUGGCCCUUAUGUCUAGGGUUAUAUAUGUAAUACAAUGGUGCGUACAAAGGGAAGUGAAUUUGUAAGGGGGAGCAAAUCUCAAAAAGCGCGUCUCAGUCCGGAUUGGAGUCUGCAACUCGACUCCAUGAAGUUGGAAUCGCUAGUA